AAGUCGUAACAAGGUUUCCGUAGGUGAACCUGCGGAAGGAUCAUUAUAGUAUAUCUAUAUCUAGGAUGUGGGGUGCUCUCGGGCCCCCCCGCCGCCAAACCUUGCAAAUUUGAACUUAAUAGUUACCUUGGUAGGCUUAACUGCCUGUGGAUAAAUCUAAAUUCUUUAAUAAACUGGCUGUAAUUAAUGUAACUGUCUGAAAUAAUGUUAAUAUUAAAACUUUCAACAACGGAUCUCUUGGUUCUG
rnacentral:misc_RNA from 2 species